rnacentral:lncRNA from 1 species
UGUUCAAAUAAAUUCUGAGUUUUCCCACCGUGCUGCCUUGGCUAUGUGCAGUUGGCUGGACCAGCAGGUCCUCAGCCAAUCAAAGUAUGAACCAACUAAGUGACAUGCGAUAGCAGCCAGCUGAGAUCCGUGCAAAUUCUGGCCAAUUUGAAUUCUACUCUGUGUUUAAUCCUGGAAUUCCACCUUGGCAUGGCUCAACACCAAGGUGUACAGCUUGAGUACAGACGGAUGUUUGUGCUAAGUGCACCACUUGAACCAAUUGGAAUACAACCAAAUGGCCCAAAUGGUUAUGUGCUGACUGCACCAUUUGACCCAAUUGGAGUACAAACAAUUGGCCCAAGUGGAAUACAGCCAAUUGGCCCAACUGGUUAUGUGCUACUGUACCAUUUGACCCAAUUGGCAUACAACCAAUUGGCCCAAUUGGUCCAAAUGGCCCAAUUGUGUACUAAUUCACAAAUGGAACCAGUUGGAACCAGGUGAAAUUUUCCAAUUGGUUCCAAUUGUUUUUUUUAACUGGGCAAGCUAUCACAAACGUAAAG